UACGUAGGGUGCAAGCGUUGUCCGGAAUUAUUGGGCGUAAAGAGCUCGUAGGCGGUUUGUCGCGUCUGCUGUGAAAACCUGGGGCUUAACCCUGGGCUUGCAGUGGGUACGGGCAGACUAGAGUGCGGUAGGGGAGACUGGAAUUCCUGGUGUAGCGGUGAAAUGCGCAGAUAUCAGGAGGAACACCGGUGGCGAAGGCGGGUCUCUGGGCCGUAACUGACGCUGAGGAGCGAAAGCGUGGGGAGCGAACAGG
rnacentral:rRNA from 1 species